ACACAUGCAAGUCGAGGGGCAUCAGUUCGUUUUGCUUGCAAACCAAAGCUGGCGACCGGCGCACGGGUGAGUAACACGUAUCCAACCUGCCUCAUACUCGGGGAUAGCCUUUCGAAAGAAAGAUUAAUAUCCGAUAGCAUAUAUUUCCCGCAUGGGUUUUAUAUUAAAGAAAUUCGGUAUGAGAUGGGGAUGCGUUCCAUUAGUUUGUUGGCGGGGUAACGGCCCACCAAGACUACGAUGGAUAGGGGUUCUGAGAGGAAGGUCCCCCACAUUGGAACUGAGACACGGUCCAAACUCCUACGGGAGGCAGCAGUGAGGAAUAUUGGUCAAUGGACGCGAGUCUGAACCAGCCAAGUAGCGUGAAGGAUGACUGCCCUAUGGGUUGUAAACUUCUUUUAUAUGGGAAUAAAGUGGUCCACGUGUGGAUUUUUGUAUGUACCAUAUGAAUAAGGAUCGGCUAACUCCGUGCCAGCAGCCGCGGUAAUACGGAGGAUCCGAGCGUUAUCCGGAUUUAUUGGGUUUAAAGGGAGCGUAGGCGGAUUGUUAAGUCAGUUGUGAAAGUUUGCGGCUCAACCGUAAAAUUGCAGUUGAUACUGGCAGUCUUGAGUGCAGUAGAGGUGGGCGGAAUUCGUGGUGUAGCGGUGAAAUGCUUAGAUAUCACGAAGAACUCCGAUUGCGAAGGCAGCUCACUGGAGUGUAACUGACGCUGAUGCUCGAAAGUGUGGGUAUCAAACAGGAUUAGAUACCCUGGUAGUCCACACAGUAAACGAUGAAUACUCGCUGUUUGCGAUAUACAGUAAGCGGCCAAGCGAAAGCAUUAAGUAUUCCACCUGGGGAGUACGCCGGCAACGGUGAAA
rnacentral:rRNA from 1 species